UACGUAGGGUGCGAGCGUUAAUCGGAAUUACUGGGCGUAAAGCGUGCGCAGGCGGUUUUGUAAGCCAGAUGUGAAAUCCCCGGGCUUAACCUGGGAAUGGCAUUUGGGACUGCAAGGCUCGAGUGCGGCAGAGGAGACUGGAAUUCCUGGUGUAGCAGUGAAAUGCGCAGAUAUCAGGAAGAACACCCGUGGCUAAGGCGGUUCUCUAGUACGGUACUGACGCUGAGACGCGAAAGCGUGGGGAGCGAACAGG
rnacentral:rRNA from 1 species